GAUGAACGCUGGCGGCGUGCCUAAUACAUGCAAGUCGAGCGAACACACGAGGAGCUUGCUCCUCUGACGUUAGCGGCGGACGGGUGAGUAACACGUGGAUAACCUACUUAUAAGACUGGGAUAACUUCGGGAAACCGGAGCUACUACCGGAUAAUAUAUUGAACCGCAUGGUUCAAUAGUGAAAGACGGCUUUGCUGUCACUUAUAGAUGGUUCCGCGUCGCAUUAGCUAGUUGGUAAGGUAACGGCUUACCAAGGCGACGAUGCGUAGCCGACCUGAGAGGGUGAUCAGCCACACUGGAACUGAGACACGGUCCAGACUCCUACGGGAGGCAGCAGUAGGGAAUCUUCGGCAAUGGGCGAAAGCCUGAUGGAGCAACGCCGCGUGAGUGAUGAAGGUCUUCGGGUCGUAAAGCUCUGUUGUUAGGGAAGAACAAAUGUAUAAGAAUCUAUGCACGUCUUGACGGUACCUAAACAAAAAGCCACGGCUAACUACGUG
rnacentral:rRNA from 1 species